AUUGAACGCUGGCGGCGUGCUUAACACAUGCAAGUCGAUCGGUAACAGGUGUAGCAAUACAUGCUGACGAGAGGCGGACGGGUGAGGAAUAUUUGGGAAUCUGCCCAUCAGCGGGGGACAACCCGGGGAAACCCGGGCUAAUACCGCAUACGCUCUACGGAGGAAAGCCGGGGACCGCAAGGCCUGGCACUGAUGGAUGAGCCCAAAUCGGAUUAGCUAGUUGGCGGGGUAACGGCCCACCAAGGCGACGAUCCGUAGCUGGUCUGAGAGGACGAUCAGCCACACCGGAACUGAGACACGGUCCGGACUCCUACGGGAGGCAGCAGUGGGGAAUCUUCCGCAAUGGACGAAAGUCUGACAGAGCAACGCCGCGUGAGUGAAGAAGGUUUUCGGAUCGUAAAACUCUGUUGUUAGGGAAGAACAAGUAUCGGAGUAACUGCCGGUACCUUGACGGUACCUGACCAGAAAGCCACGGCUAACUACGUGCCAGCAGCCGCCGUAAAAC
rnacentral:rRNA from 1 species